rnacentral:rRNA from 1 species
AUAUCAAUAAGCGGAGGAAAAGAAACCAACAGGGAUUGCCCCAGUAACGGCGAGUGAAGCGGCAACAGCUCAAAUUUGAAAUCUGGCCCCCCGGGUCCGAGUUGUAAUUUGUAGAGGAUGCUUUUGGUGAGGUGCCGCCCGAGUUCCCUGGAACGGGACGCCACAGAGGGUGAGAGCCCCGUCUGGCUGGCCACCGAGCCUCUGUAAAGCUCCUUCGACGAGUCGAGUAGUUUGGGAAUGCUGCUCAAAAUGGGAGGUAUAUGUCUUCUAAAGCUAAAUAUUGGCCAGAGACCGAUAGCGCACAAGUAGAGUGAUCGAAAGAUGAAAAGCACCUUGAAAAGAGGGUUAAAUAGUACGUGAAAUUGUUGAAAGGGAAGCGCUUGUGACCAGACUUGGGCGCGGCGGAUCAUCCGGGGUUCUCUCCGGUGCACUUCGCCGCGUUCAGGCCAGCAUCAGUUCGUCGCGGGGGAUAAAGGCUUCGGGAACGUGGCUCCUCCGGGAGUGUUAUAGCCCGUUGCAUAAUACCCUGCGGUGGACUGAGGACCGCGCAUCUGCAAGGAUGCUGGCGUAAUGGUCACCAGCGACCCGUCUUGAAACACGGACCAAGGAGUCGUCUUCGUAUGCGAGUGUUCGGGUGUCAAACCCCUACGCGUAAUGAAAGUGAACGCAGGUGAGAGCUUCGGCGCAUCAUCGACCGAUCCUGAUGUUCUCGGACGGAUUUGAGUAAGAGCAUACGGGGCCGGACCCGAAAGAAGGUGAACUAUGCCUGUAUAGGGUGAAGCCAGAGGAAACUCUGGUGGAGGCUCGCAGCGGUUCUGACGUGCAAAUCGAUCGUCAAAUAUGGGCAUGGGGGCGAAAGACUAAUCGAACCUUCUAGUAGCUGGUUUCCGC